GGAAGUAAAAAGUGGUAUACAAGGUCUCCGUUGGUGACCCAGCGGAGGGAUCAUUACUGAGUUACCGCUCAUCAACCCUUUGUGAACAUACCUUAACUGUUGCUUCGGUGGGUAGGCGUCCCCUGAAAAGGACGUCUCCCGGCCCUCUCCCGUCCGCGGGUGGGGCGCCCGCCGGAGGAAAACCAAACUCUGAUUUAACGACGUUUCUUCUGAGUGACACAAUCAAAUAAUCAAAACUUUUAACAACGGAUCUCUUGGUUCUGGCAUCGAAGAAGAACGCUGCGAAAUGCGAUAAGUAAUGGGAAUUGCAGAAUUCAUUGAAUCAUCGAAUCUUUGAACGCACAUUGCGCCCGCCAGCCUUCUGGCGGGCAUGCCUGUUCCAGCGUCAUUUCAACCCUCAAGCUCUGCUUGGUGUUGGGGCCCUAAGGUUGACGUAGGCCCUUAAAGGUAGUGGCGGAACCUCUCGGACCCUCCUUUGCGUUUUAACAUUUCGUCUCGCCUUGGGAUUCCGAGGAACUCUACCCCGUAAAACCCCCCAUUUUACUAAGGUUGACCUCGGAUCAGGUAGGA
rnacentral:rRNA from 1 species